AAUAGCCUUAAACCAGGAGCUGCCACCCGCAGCGCCCGCCCCGCGGGAGGAAGGUCAGGAAUCCGGCCCAGGAAAGGUCACACGGCCGCUCCGGGCCGGGCUGUGGGACUGCGAACGAGCCUUUCGAUCCCAGCCGAGGCUCCGGGGACAUCAGCGGAGCGCAGGAGCUGUCCCUGCGCCGGCCAGUCCCGGAGCAUCCCUCGGCCUCCCCACGGCAGGAAUCCCGCACCGGGGCUCUCCAUCCCCCGCUGCCAGGGGAAGGCGCGACGCCUUUCAGAUCCCUUUGUGGUGAAAGCUCGGAGCCGCAGCCGGGCUGCCGUGCCCGCAGCGCCCGGACAGGGCUCGGGAGGAGCCGCCGGGAGCGGAGCGCGGCUCCCACCUAGCGGGGAGCGCCGGGGGACCGGAACGGGGAACCCGCACUGCGAGAGCAUCAGCCCUGCUCCUGCUGCCGGGGAAACACACAAACACACACACACCGACAGACAGACAGACACACACCCACCCCGACAGACAGACAGACACACACACAUACACACCGACAGACAGACACACACACAUACACACCGACAGACAGACACACACACACACCGACAGACAGACACACACACACACACACCGACAGACAGACACACACACACACCCCGACAGACAGACACACCCCGACAGACAGACAGACACACCCCGACAGACAGACAGACACCCCGACAGACAGACAGACACCGACACACAGACAGACACACACACACCCCGACAGACAGACACACACACACCCCGACAGACAGACACACACACCCCGACAGACACACACACACACCCCGACAGACACACACGCACACCCCGACAGACACACACACACACCCCCCGACAGACACACACACACACACACACCUCGACAGACACACCCCGACAGACACACACGCACACCCCGACAGACACACGCACACAUCCCGACAGACAGACGCAUCCCGACACACGCCGACAGACAGAGAGACACACACAUACAGUCAGACACACACACACACCCAGACAGACAGACACACACACACACACCCCGACAGACAGACGCACACGCACACACAGACCCAGACCCCGCCCGCCUGUGCCCAGAGCCUCUGCACUGCAUUCCCGCAGUUCCAGCGCGCCCAUCAAACGCCGCUCAAACUCACUGCUUUAACUGGUUUUAUCUUAAUUGCACAAAUUCUGCGGCUCGCAGCCCCGUGUGUUCCCCGACACCCACAGACACAACAAAUCCACGGCACAGGACGUUCCAACCACUGCUCCAUCAACCAGACCUGCCCCUGCCUCAGCCCAGGGCUGGCUGUGUCCUGGCAGCUUCCAGCAGGGAAUUCCCACACUCACACCGUGGCAAGGCUCCUGUUCUCCCCGUCUCUCCCCUCUCUACUGAAACACAGGCUCCCAGACAGAUUUCCAGGUUCUCCCGCACAUUUGGCCACAUACCUGCCUCGGGCCCACGAUCAGCACAGUGCAGAGUGCUCCUGCAGGGGCAGGGUGUGGAGCACAGACCUUGUGUGCUGCUCCUCUAACCCGAGGCCUCUGCACCUCCUGAGCCGGGGUUUGGCUCCCUGGCACGAGGCAAUCACCCCAUAA
ensembl:lncRNA